UCCCAGACUCCUACGGGAGGCAGCAGUGAGGAAUAUUGGUCAAUGGCCGCAGGGCUGAACCAGCCAAGUCGCGUGAGGGAUGACGGUCCUAUGGAUUGUAAACCUCUUUUGUCAGGGAGCAAAGGGCGCCACGUGUGGCGUUUUGCGAGUACCUGAAGAAAAAGCAUCGGCUAACUCCGUGCCAGCAGCCGCGGUAAUACGGAGGAUGCGAGCGUUAUCCGGAUUUAUUGGGUUUAAAGGGUGCGCAGGCGGAAUGUCAAGUCAGCGGUAAAAUUUCGGGGCUCAACCCCGUCGUGCCGUUGAAACUGGCAGACUUGAGUUGGCGAGAAGUACGCGGAAUGCGCGGUGUAGCGGUGAAAUGCAUAGAUAUCGCGCAGAACUCCGAUUGCGAAGGCAGCGUACCGGCGCCAGACUGACGCUGAGGCACGAAAGCGUGGGGAUCGAACAGGAUUAGAUACCCUAGUAGC
rnacentral:rRNA from 1 species